rnacentral:tRNA from 1 species
AGGUGUAUAGCUCAGUGGCACAGUGCCUGCCUGGCAAGCACGAUUCCCUGAGUUCAGUUCCCAGUACCUG